AUUAAACGCUGGCGGCAUGCCUUACACAUGCAAGUCGAACGGCAGCACGGGGGCAACCCUGGUGGCGAGUGGCGAACGGGUGAGUAACGCAUCGGAACGUGCCCUGGAGUGGGGGAUAACGUAGCGAAAGUUACGCUAAUACCGCAUAUUCUGUGAGCAGGAAAGCAGGGGAUCGCAAGACCUUGCGCUCUGGGAGCGGCCGAUGUCGGAUUAGCUAGUUGGUGGGGUAAAGGCCUACCAAGGCGACGAUCCGUAGCGGGUCUGAGAGGAUGAUCCGCCACACUGGGACUGAGACACGGCCCAGACUCCUACGGGAGGCAGCAGUGGGGAAUUUUGGGACAAUGGGCGCAAGCCUGAUCCAGCCAUGCCGCGUGAGUGAAGAAGGCC
rnacentral:rRNA from 1 species